GAUGAACGCUGGCGGCGUGCUUAAUACAUGCAAGUCGAACGGAGGGUUAGCAAUAACUCUUAGUGGCGAACGGGUGAGUAACGCGUUGGUGACCUGCCCCGAAGACAGGGAUAACAGUUCGAAAGGACUGCUAAUACCCGAUGAAGUUAUGGUGGUUAGAGUGCCGUAACAAAAGGAGCGAUCCGCUUUGGGAGGGGCCUGCGUCCCAUCAGCUAGUUGGUAAGGUAAAGGCUUACCAAGGCGAAGACGGGUAGGGGACCUGAGAGGGUGAUCCCCC
rnacentral:rRNA from 1 species